GGUGAGUAACACGUGGAUAACCUACCUAUAAGACUGGGAUAACUUCGGGAAACCGGAGCUAAUACCGGAUAAUAUUUUGAACCGCAUGGUUCAAAAGUGAAAGACGGUCUUGCUGUCACUUAUAGAUGGAUCCGCGCUGCAUUAGCUAGUUGGUAAGGUAACGGCUUACCAAGGCAACGAUGCAUAGCCGACCUGAGAGGGUGAUCGGCCACACUGAACUGAGACACGGUCCAG
rnacentral:rRNA from 1 species